rnacentral:tRNA from 1 species
AGUUUCCUGGUCUAGCGGUUAUGAUUUUCCGUUAACAUCUGCUCUUAGCAUGUUCCGGAAAGGUUCUGGGUUCGAUUCCCAGGGAAACUA